UAAAAAUAAAGCGAUGGAGUUCGCUUAACCGUUCCGAUAGAUAUCGGGACUGAUAACUCCUACCAGGAU
rnacentral:ncRNA from 2 species